rnacentral:rRNA from 1 species
UGGGAGGAUUGACAGAUUGAGAGCUCUUUCUUGAUUCGGUGGGUACCACCAUCCAGGCAUGGCCGUUCUUAAGACUCCGCAGUGACCGAAAGGGAAUCGGGUUAAUAAUCCCGGACACAGAGAUUGGUCCUUCGGGGUCCAGUGCGGUAACGCAAACCAGCUCGGAGACGCCGCUGCGAGCCCCGGGAAGAGUUUUCUUUUCUCUGUAAGGAGAUCGAGUCCCUGGAUCGGGUUCGCCCCGAGAUAGGGAUGGUGGCUCCGUAGAGCAGUGCGGCCCUUCCGCUCUCCGGCGCGCGCGUCGGCCCUUGAAACUCUGAGUGAGGGAGUGUGAUUUUCGUGCCGGACCGUACCCACAUCCGCAUCAGGUCUCCAAGGUGAACAGCCUCU